GCCUGUUUGGCCGAGUGGUUAUGGCGGCACAUUUGAGUGGUGAUUCUUGUUCAAGAAUCACAUUCACAUAUCUGUGCUAUCGAGAGAUGCGUAAGUUCGAACCCUGCAACAGGCA